UACUACUGAACAGAGCUGCCUGCCAUGGGGGUUCUUAAAUUCACUGAAUGAUGAAUUCACAGGAUGAUGCAUUUAGCUAUUCUUGGCUCGCCGUCAUUCAAAGUAGUCUCACAUCAGAGUGGUGAGAUUGUAUGACACCGAACUGUGUCUCGUGGCGCUCCAUUUGGGGAAAAUCAGAUUUCCUCAACAAUUAACAAUGGUCCGGGGAUUCCGUGGGUAUUACCAAGCGGUGGCUUGUUCCCUAAGAUGCUAGGUGAAGAGGAGGGAGGAACUUCAGGGUCCUUUGUCCGGAGUCCUAGCUGUCAGAAAACUGUUUGUGCCCUCGUCCCUUGGUGGCUCCGGGUCGGUGGGGCUGGAUGCUGCCGAAAAACAUACUGGCCUUCUGUAGAACGGCGGCUGGAAAGGAAACAAAUAAAGAAAAAGUUAUAUCAAAGGAAGAAAGAGAUAUAUAAAAAUAAAGAUGUAUAAAGAAGAAGAUCUAUAAAAAGAUAUAUUGAGAUAUAUAAAGAUGUAUAAAGAAGAUACAUAAAAUAAAAAGAUAUAUUAAAAAAUAUAUGAAGAAAAACAUAUAAAGAUGUAUGAAAUCAAAAAGAUAAAAAUAAAUAAAAAUUAACAUAUAUAAAAUCAACAGAUAUAUAAAGAAAAACAUAAAAAUAAGGAAAAACGUAAAAAUAAAGAAAAAGAUGUAUAAAAUAAAAAAAUAUAUAAAAAUAAGGAUGCAUAAAAAUAAAGAAAAACAUACAAAAUAGCGAAAAAGAUACACAAACCCAAAGAAAAGCACACGUUAUAGGACAGGGCGCAGGCCGCGCCCCCCUCACGGCCCGGCGCUGCCGCCCCCAAAUGGCGGCGGGGCCGAGGCCGAGGCCGAGGCGGGGGCGGGGCCGGGCACGCGGCGGCUCCCCGGCGAAGUUUCCCGCGGGCGGGACCCGCGCCCCGCCCCGCCCCGCCCCCCCGUGCCGGCCGCCGGCGCGCGGGGCCCCAACUUUUCGGGGGCGGGGCCGCGGGGAGGCGGCGAGCGCGCGGCGGGGGCCGGCACUUGCCCGCCGCGGUGCGGCCGCGGGUCCCGGCAGCGCCCGGCUCGGCUCCGGGCGGGGGGGGGGCGGGAUGGGGACGGCGACGGGGCGGGCGCCGGGGGCUGCAGCGCGGCCCGGCCCCGGCGGCGGAGCGGCGGCGGCGGCGGCGAGCGCGCGCACGUGACUCCGGCGCUGGGCGCCCGCACACCGCGCCCGCUGCCCUCGCCGCCUCCCCGAGCACCGUGCGAGCCGCCGGCAGGGCACGGCUCGGCUCGGCUCGGCUCGGCACCGCGCGGCUCGGCACCGCGCGGCUCGGCACGGCACGGCUCGGUACCGCGCGGCACGGCACCCGGCGCCGAGCAGGCGGCAAGAGUUCGCGAAGGCUGCCGCUGCGUUGCCUUCCCGGAGAGGUUGCGCGCCCGGAGGAUGGCCGGCUGCGGGCUGUCGGAGGACGCCUUCUUCUCGUCCUUCUUCUGCAACUACACCUCCUCCUGGGAAGCCUCCUACAACCAGUGUGGAUGCUUGCGAUCCAGUUUGUCUCGCUAUGACCAGAAGGUAUCACUGAGGGAUACCAGCGCGACGGAUGCACAUAGGAGAGAACCUGACGUACGUUUAGGUGUAGAGGCUUAA
rnacentral:lncRNA from 1 species